rnacentral:rRNA from 1 species
CUUCGGGUACUGGAGAGUGGCGCACGGGUGAGUAACGCGUGGGGACCUACCUCUUAGUGGGGGAUAACGGUUGGAAACGACCGCUAAUACCGCAUACGCCCUUCGGGGGAAAGAUUUAUCGCUAAGAGAUGGACCCGCGUUGGAUUAGAUAGUUGGUGAGGUAACGGCUCACCAAGUCGGCGAUCCAUAGCUGGUUUGAGAGGAUGAUCAGCCACACUGGGACUGAGACACGGCCCAGACUCCUACGGGAGGCAGCAGUGGGGAAUAUUGGACAAUGGGGGCAACCCUGAUCCAGCCAUGCCGCGUGAGUGAAGAAGGCCUUCGGGUUGUAAAGCUCCUUCAGAUGCGAAGAUGAUGACGGCAACAUCAGAAGAAGCCCCGGCUAAUUUCGUGCCAGCAGCCGCGGUAAUACAAAAGGGGCUAGCGUUGUUCGGAUUUACUGGGCGUAAAGGGCACGCAGGCGGUCUUGCCAGUCAGGGGUGAAAGCCCGGGGCUCAACCCCGGAACUGCCUCUGAUACUGCAAGACUAGAGACUAGGAGAGGGUGGUGGAAUUCCCCGUGUACAGGUGAAAUUCGUAUAUAUUGGGAGGAACACCAGAGGCGAAGGCAGCCUCCUGGAACUAAUUUGACGCUCAGGUGCGAAAGCGUGGGGAGCAAACCGGAUUUGAUUCCCCGGGUAGUCCCAGCCCGUAAACAAUGAGGGCUAAUUGGUUGGGAUUUCCUUUUUCCGUGA